AACCCAAUCCACUCCCCCGAAGCCCUCUCUCUCUCUCGAUCUCUCGAUCUCUCGAAUCCUUUUAGCUUUCCCCAUCCAAACCCUAAUUCCCCAAAUCAUCCAAAUCCCCAAAUGUCUUCGUCUACGCUCGCCUUCUCCGCCACCUUCUUCUCCGCUGCGAGCCUCUUCGGCCAUGGCGGGGCCCGGCCCAGCUCUCAUUUUGCGGCGUUCCCACACCUCUCGGCUAAAUUCGCCACCGGGCUCGCGAGAUCUCCCUUUUGGGAUCGGGUUUCCGCCUCCCUGUUGCCACAGAACCCCAGAUUUGUGUCGAAGAGGUGGAGGAGUCCCGGUGUGGCUUAUGCUACUGCGGCGACCGAGAAGAGUAUCUAUGAUUUCACCGUCAAGGAUAUUGAUGGAAAAGAUGUUUCUCUCAGCAAAUUCAAGGGCAAAGCUUUGUUGAUUGUAAAUGUUGCUUCAAAGUGUGGGUUGACGUCAUCAAAUUACACUGAGCUCUCUCACCUCUAUGAGAAGUACAAGAGUCAAGGAUUCGAGAUUCUGGCUUUUCCUUGCAAUCAAUUUGGGGGGCAGGAGCCCGGUUCAAACUCAGAAAUAAAACAGUUUGCUUGCACAAGGUUCAAAGCAGAAUUCCCAAUUUUUGAUAAGGUUGAUGUAAAUGGACCAAAUACAGCUCCUAUUUAUCAGUUUCUUAAGUCUAGUGCUGGAGGAUUUUUGGGUGAUCUAAUCAAGUGGAACUUUGAGAAGUUCUUGGUAGACAAAAAUGGUAAGGUUGUGGAGAGAUAUCCACCUACGACUUCUCCUUUCCAGAUCGAGAGGGAUAUUCAGAAACUUCUGGCGGCAUAGGAACUCGGAGUUUCUUUGCGGAUGUAAAUACUGCAUGUGCCCUUGCCUCCUGGAAGAAAAACAUCAUGGUUCAGAAGGAUGCAAACCAAAGCCAGGUUCUCUAUUGAAACAUACUUUACUAAUCUUUGUAUUGCUUUUUCGUUGUAUUGUUUUCAUGUUUUGUUGGCUCGUUGCAGAUUGCCGUGGUUUUGGUUCUGUUAUCACAUUGUUCUACUUAAUGCCAUUCUAGAAGGGCAUUCCCUGUUUUUCUUUGAUUACUCAUUUUACAUGAAUAUUUUUGUGCCAAAGCCACUAUAUCCUAAAAAUCUUGUACUUUUCUUUCAAUAAAGCAACUAUAAAUGUUUCCUC